rnacentral:rRNA from 1 species
UACGAAGGGGGCUAGCGUUGCUCGGAAUCACUGGGCGUAAAGCGCACGUAGGCGGCUUUUUAAGUCAGAGGUGAAAUCCUGGAGCUCAACUCCAGAACUGCCUUUGAUACUGAGAGGCUUGAGUCCGGGAGAGGUGAGUGGAACUGCGAGUGUAGAGGUGAAAUUCGUAGAUAUUCGCAAGAACACCAGUGGCGAAGGCGAGUCUCUGGACAUUUCCUGACGCUGAGGCACGAAAGCCAGGGGAGCAAACGGG